AAUCUGCAGCGAGACAAAUGGAGCGAAACAGAGAAACAAGACGAUGUGUAAAACCAGACAACUAUAGGCACAGAAAGUGUUAAGUGACAGAACAAGGAAUGAAAUGACUGCAGUGCCUGUGUAGUACAUCCAACGCUGCAAUGAGGAACUCGUGGGCAUCUUGCUGCUCGUAGCCUGCAAGGUGACGUGCAUGAGUCCACACAAGGUGCAGAAGCCGGAAGGGAAUGUGGGGCGAACGGUGGCCUGAAUAAAACUGGAGAAGAAAAAUGGGAGAGAUGGGAAUAGCGGUUGGUUAACCUAUUUUUACAGCAGUUUCAAGAAGACUGAGGAAUGAAAGAAACUAGAAGAAUGGGAUGAAACAAGCAAAGACAGGAGAAGGAGGAG